rnacentral:rRNA from 1 species
GCCUUGGGCGGCGUUGCUUACACAUGCAAGUCGAACGGUGAAGCCAAGCUUGCUUGGUGGAUCAGUGGCGAACGGGUGAGUAACACGUGAGCAACCUGCCCUGGACUCUGGGAUAAGCGCUGGAAACGGCGUCUAAUACUGGAUAUGAGACGUGAUCGCAUGGUCGUGUUUGGAAAGAUUUUUCGGUCUGGGAUGGGCUCGCGGCCUAUCAGCUUGUUGGUGAGGUAAUGGCUCACCAAGGCGUCGACGGGUAGCCGGCCUGAGAGGGUGACCGGCCACACUGGGACUGAGACACGGCCCAGACUCCUACGGGAGGCAGCAGUGGGGAAUAUUGCACAAUGGGCGAAAGCCUGAUGCAGCAACGCCGCGUGAGGGAUGACGGCCUUCGGGUUGUAAACCUCUUUUAGCAGGGAAGAAGCGAAAGUGACGGUACCUGCAGAAAAAGCGCCGGCUAACUACGUGCCAGCAGCCGCGGUAAUACGUAGGGCGCAAGCGUUAUCCGGAAUUAUUGGGCGUAAAGAGCUCGUAGGCGGUUUGUCGCGUCUGCUGUGAAAUCCCGAGGCUCAACCUCGGGCCUGCAGUGGGUACGGGCAGACUAGAGUGCGGUAGGGGAGAUUGGAAUUCCUGGUGUAGCGGUGGAAUGCGCAGAUAUCAGGAGGAACACCGAUGGCGAAGGCAGAUCUCUGGGCCGUAACUGACGCUGAGGAGCGAAAGGGUGGGGAGCAAACAGGCUUAGAUACCCUGGUAGUCCACCCCGUAAACGUUGGGAACUAGUUGUGGGGACCAUUCCACGGUUUCCGUGACGCAGCUAACGCAUUAAGUUCCCCGCCUGGGGAGUACGGCCGCAAGGCUAAAACUCAAAGGAAUUGACGGGGACCCGCACAAGCGGCGGAGCAUGCGGAUUAAUUCGAUGCAACGCGAAGAACCUUACCAAGGCUUGACAUAUACGAGAACGGGCCAGAAAUGGUUCAACUCUUUGGACCACUCGUA